rnacentral:lncRNA from 1 species
CAGUACACACUCCACACAGUCCAGUAUAAAAGUGAUUUUUACUUUUCCUGCAGGUAUUAAUGUUCUAUUCAUCGUUGCUGGGUUGGUUGUUGCUGCUCUCGUUCUCAUCGCUGUGGUUGUUGGUGUUGUGAUGGUUGUGAAGAGAAGAUCAGAUUACAAGAAGGCCAGACACAUUCUUGGAGUGGCAGAACAAGUCAUCGUACCGGGAGAGGACACUGGACGAGCUUCGGACAUUCUUCUGAGGCGUUUGGUCUGUGAGAGGGAGGCAGGAG